rnacentral:misc_RNA from 1 species
AAGUCGUAACAAGGUUUCCGUAGGUGAACCUGCGGAAGGAUCAUUAAAGAAUUCGGCUUCGCGGCCAAGUUCUCACCCUUUGUCAUUACCGAAACUAUGUUGCUUUUGGCAGGCCCCGCAUUCUUCGGGCCUGGCCAGAGGUGAUAACCCACUAGAAUCUCUGCUGUCUGAGUACUAUACAAUAGUUAAAA